rnacentral:rRNA from 1 species
CCUACGGGAGACAGCAGUGGGGGAUAUUGCACAAUGGGGGGAACCCUGAUGCAGCGACGCCGCGUGGGUGAAGGAGUGCUUCGGCAUGUAAAGCCCUAUCGGCAGGGAAGAAGCAAGACGGUACCUGACUAAGAAGCCCCGGCUAACUACGUGCCAGCAGCCGCGGUAAUACGUAGGGGGCGAGCGUUAUCCGGAUUCACUGGGGGUAAAGGGAGCGUAGACGGCCAUGCAAGCCAGGGGUGAAAGCCCGGGGCCCAACCCCGGGACUGCCCUUGGAACUGUGCGGCUAGAGUGCGGGAGGGGCAGGCGGAAUGCCUGGUGUAGCGGUGAAAUGCGUAGAUAUCAGGAGGAACACCGGCGGCGAAGGCGGCCUGCUGGACUGCGACUGACGUUGAGGCUCGAAAGCGUGGGGAGCGAACAGGAUUAGAUACCCUAGUAGUC